rnacentral:rRNA from 1 species
UACGAAGGGGGCUAGCGUUGUUCGGAAUUACUGGGCGUAAAGCGCACGUAGGCGGAUAUUUAAGUCAGGGGUGAAAUCCCGCAGCUCAACUGCGGAACUGCCUUUGAUACUGGGUAUCUUGAGUAUGGAAGAGGUUAGUGGAAUUGCGAGUGUAGAGGUGAAAUUCGUAGAUAUUCGCAAGAACACCAGUGGCGAAGGCGGCUCACUGGCCCGGUACUGACGCUGAGACGCGAAAGCGUGGGGAGCGAACAGG